AGUAAUGAAUAAUAGAUUUGAAAUAUUUAUUAUAUAGAUUUAAAGAAAUAAUCAUAGAAUACAUAAGUUAUUAAUAGUUAUUAGGUUACUAAUAAAUAAAUAAAUAAAUUUAUUUUAAUACCUAAGGUAAACCAUAAAAAAUUAUUUAAAUAAAUAAUUAUUAUAAAUAUACUAAGUGAACUGAAACAUCUAAGUAACUUAAGGAUAAAAAAUCAACCGAGAUAUUAUGAGUAUUGGUGAGAGAAAAUAAUAUAGUUAAUAAUCCAUAUCGCCUACACCCUUUAGGGUGUUGGAUAGGUAGGAUUAUAUAUAAGUAUUAUGUAAUAUAAUUAUGUAAGAAUAUAGGACAAACUAGUUCUAAAACUAAAUACUAUUAAUAAACAAAAUAAGUACCGAAAGGGAAAGUAUGUAAGUGGUUAUUUUAUAAGUAAUCAUAGAUAUAAAUUUUAUAUUAAUGAUGUACCUUUUGUAUAAUGGGUCAGCAAGUAAUUAAUAUUAGCAAAAUCAAUAAAAUUAUAAAAAAAUUGAUAAUAUUUCCUUUUUUAUAUUGGAUAAUUAAGUUAAUAUUAAUUGACCCGAAAGCAAAUGAUCUUACUAUGACCAGACGGUUAAACGGUCGAACAGGUUGAUGUUGCAAUAUCAUCUGAUGAGUUGUGGUAAGUAGUGAAAGACAAAUCUGAUUUGCAGAUAGCUGGUUUUCUACGAAAUAUAUGUUAGUAUAGCUUUUAUAAUAAUAAUUAUUAUAAUCCAACGGAUUAUAAAGAACGGUACAGCAACAAAUAUAUUUAGGGGAACUAUUGUAGUUUUAUCAAAAAUAUUUGAUCUCGAAAUGUUUAAUUAUGAUUAUAAGAAGUCAGAUUAUGUGCGAUAAGGUAAAUAAUCUAAAGGGAAACAGCCCAGAUUAAUAUAUAAGGUUCCUAAUUACAUGAAAUAAUAAGUGAAAUAAAUAUUAAAAUAUUAUAAUACAAUCAGUUAAUGGAUUUGACAAUAACCAUUUUUUAAUGAACAUGUAACAAUGCACUGAUCUAUAUAUAAUCUUUUUAAUAAGAUUAUUAUUAUAUAAUAUUAUAAAUUUUUCUUUAUAAAAAAAGAAAAUUAAUAAACAAUAUACGGAUCUUUUACAAAUAAAAAUUAUUUAACCGAAUAUUUAAAUAUUAUUAUUAAUUUAAAUAAUAAUAAUAUGGUAGUAGAACAUUUAAUGAAAAAAUAUAUUAAUUCUUAAUUAAUAUAUAAUAAAAUAUAUAAAUAUAUUUUUAAUAAUUUUGUAUUUUUGUAUAAAAUACAAAAUGAUGAAAUAGUAAUUAAAUAGAGAAUGCUGACAUGAGUAACGAAAAAAAGGUUAAACCUUUUCACCUAAAACAUAAGGUUUUACUAUAAAAGUACGGCCCUUAAUUAAAUUAUAUAAAUAUAAUCUAAGAUAGGAUAAUUCUAAAUUAAAUAUUACAUCUUUUAUUUAUCAAAAAAUUAUAAAAGAUCAAGAAAUACUUUUAAUUUAUACCGUAAUGUAUACCGACUCAGGUAUGUUAGUAGAGAAUAUUAAGGUGAAUUAGAUAAUUAAAGGGAAGGAACUCGGCAAAAAUAGCUCUAACGUUAGUCAAUAAAGAGAUAAUUAAAAACAAGGUUGUACAACUGUUUAAUAAAAACACCGCACUUUGCAUAAACGAUAAGUUAACGUAUAAGGUGUGAACUCUGCUCCAUGCUUAACAUAUAAAUAAUAUUAUUUAAUGAUAAUAUUAUUAAAUUUAAGUAAAUAGCAGCCUUAUUAUGAGGGUUCUAAGGUAGCGAAAUUCAUUGUCCAAUAAUUAUGGUCCUGCAUGAAUGACGUAAUGAUACAACAACUGUCUCCCCUUUAAGCUAAGUGAAAUUAAAAUCGCAGUGAAGAUGCUGUGUACCUAUAGUGUGACGGAAAGACCCUAUGCAGCUUUACUGUAAUUAGAUAGAUCGAAUUAUUGUAUAUUAUAUUCAGAAUAUUAAGUAAUUGAUUAAAUUUAAAUGAGAUACUUAUUAUAAUAAUAUAAUAAUUCUAAUCUUAAUAAAACCUUUUAUAAGGUUAUUUAAUAGAUAUUAUUCUUAAAUAAAAUAUUAUAUAUUAUGUAUAUAUUAUAUAUAUAUAUAAUUAAUAUAUAAUAUAAUAAUAAGAGACAAUCUCUAAUUGGUAGUUUUGAUGGGGCGUCAUUUUCAGCAAUAAUAUCUGAAUAAGUCUAUAUAUAAAUUAUAAUAUUAUUUAAAAAAUAAAAAUAUAUAUUAUAUAUAUUAAUUAUAAAUAGGAAUAUAUUUCUUUAAAGAAAAUUUUAUUUUUUUUUAAAGUUAUAUAUUUUAGUAAUAGAAAAAAUCAUGUAUAGUAAAAUUGUCUAGAAAACAAUAAUAAUAAUAUUAUUUCUAUUUAGUAGAAAUUUAUAUUAUAUAAUAAAAUGUAUUAAAUUAAUAUAAUGGUAUAACUAUGCAACAAUUAUAACACAAACAAGUGAAAUAAGUACGUAAGUAUGGCAUAAUGAACAAAUAACACUGAUUGUAAUGGUUAUUGAUAACGAAUAAAAGUUACGCUAGGGAUAACAGGGUAAUAUAGCGAAAGAGUAGAUAUUGUAAGCUAUGUUUGCCACCUCGAUGUCGACUCUACCUAUCCUCUUGGUUGUAAAUGCUAAGAAGGGUUUGACUGUUCGUCAAUUAAAAGGUAACGUGAGUUGGGUUAAAUACGAUGUAAAUCAGUAUGGUUCCUAUCUACUAUAGGUAAUAUUAUCAACUUAAGUCUUAUUCUUAGUACGCAAGGAUCAGAAUGAAUUAAUCCAUGGUGUAUCUAUUGAUUAUUUUAUAAUAUAUAUAUAUAUUUAUAUAUAUAUAUAUAUUAUCUAUAUUAAUUUAUAUUUAAUAUUAUAGUCACAGUAGAUAAGCUAAAUUAAUAAAUAAUAAGUAUUGAAAGCAUAUAAAAUACGAAGUUGUCUUAAGAUGAGAUAAUAAUCUGAUUAUUUUAGACUAAAAUAAUAUAAGUAUCUAAUCCUAUUUAUCUUUCAGAUAAGUAGGAAAUUCAGAUCAAUAAAAUAGGUUUUUUAUAUAUAUA
rnacentral:rRNA from 1 species